GCGGCACGCGCGCACAGCCUCACUGCGCAUGCGUUCUUCAAGCAAUCGGCGCGCGAGUUUUCCGGGCGCAGCAACGCGCAUGCUUGCCAUUCAGGCAGACGGCUGCGCGCUUGCGCGGCAGCAGGGCAGGGCGAGCGGCGGUUUUGCGCAUGCGUCCCGCCGUAGGGCGGAAACGCCCAUGCGCGGAGCCGCGCGCUCUGAGGCUGAGGAGCAGCCGGUGCCUCGCCCCGCUCCGGGCAGCAGAGGGCAGCGCUGGCGCGGAGCUCUGUGGAGAAGCGAAGUCUUUCUUGUCUUUGCGACACUUGGGCUCCGCGCUGACUGACUCAUAAGAACGCUCGAGGCCCAAAGUGAACGUGAUUUUAUUGUCUGUCGGUUCUGGAUGUUCUGGGGACUAUUCCAAGGGGACGACAGAGAGAGGUUUUCUUCUUGCUCUUUGACGCUGUAAGGAGGAGUGGGGACUUCAAAUGUAGCAUGAAACUGAGAAUAAUCGACACGGAAAAAGCCAUCUUCCAGGGACAUCACUGGGAGGAAUCUGUGACCCCAAAGAACUUCAUCUUCCGUAUAUGAGGUCCUAGCUUGGCAAGUCAUUCCUGUGGAGGCAGAGACAAGAGAAUGACGCUGUAACAUAAGCAAAAACUACGAUGUACAUGUAAGGACUUUAAGCUUCCUAAAAUUUUCCUAGCAUUCAAAACACAACUGAGAACAUGCAGCAGUUCACCAGACAGAUCCUCCACUGAUGGCUUUAAACUGCUGGAAACUGAUUGUUAAAAUUAAAGCUUUGCAGAGCCUAUUUAAAAUCCUAUUAUUUAAAAUCCUUUCUGUUUUAUUGCUCGAUUAGGAAGCACGUGAUCGUUUGAGAAGCUUAUUAUUGAUCAUGAAUGAGAGAUAAUUACGUAGCUGCUAGUUUGUUCUGUCUGUUUUGAUAAAUGUGUUGGUUCCAUUACGUGGAAACUCCGUCCAUUAGUGAUAGGGAACAAGCUGAAGCAAGCAGUUUUGCUGUUGACUCCAAUCUAAUAGGUUUUCUUCAGGGAAAAGAAAGUUUCUAUCUUUAACAACAACAAAUCCCAAGCAACAGCUGUACUUUGAGAUUGUCUCUCUGAUUUCUGGUGUAUUAAAAAAGCUGAAUAUCUCACUGCCUGGCAUUUACUGUGAUUCCUGAACCAGUUUAGAUAGCUGGUGGAGUACUGAG